CGCUGGCGGCGUGCCUAACACAUGCAAGUCGAGCGAGGAGAUCCUCGGGAUGAUCCUAGCGGCGGACGGGUGAGUAACACGUGGGCAACCUGCCUCAUAGAGAGGAAUAGCCUUCCGAAAGGGAGAUUAAUACCUCAUAACAUUGCAGUUUCGCAUGGAACAGCAAUUAAAGGAGUAAUCCGCUAUGAGAUGGGCCCGCGGCGCAUUAGCUAGUUGGUGAGGUAACGGCUCACCAAGGCGACGAUGCGUAGCCGACCUGAGAGGGUGAUCGGCCACAUUGGGACUGAGACACGGCCCAGACUCCUACGGGAGGCAGCAGUGGGGAAUAUUGCACAAUGGGGGAAACCCUGAUGCAAGCAACGCCGCGUGAGUGAUGACGGCCUUCGGGUUGUAAAGCUCUGUCUUCAGGGACGAUAAUGACGGUACCUGAGGAGGAAGCCACGGCUAACUACGUGCCAGCCGCUGC
rnacentral:rRNA from 1 species